AUGCCUCCUUUGUCUAUUCAUCACAUAUAUAGAUAUAAAAAUUUAAUUCAUGACAAAAAUAUAGUAUACAAUUCAUAUUAUGAAAAAAAUGAGUAUAUUGAUAUAUGGGAUUUUCCAGUCGAGUUUGAUUCGUAUGAAGAUACUACAUACGAGUUGCUGAAUGAUAUAUUGGAAAUAAGUGAAAAAGACGUAUUUGCAGUACCUAAAGAAUUAGAAGUACAAGAAAUGGAAGAAAAAGAUUUAAUGUUAAUAAAUAAAACGCCAGUUGAAUAUACAUGUGUAUGGUUAAAUGCAGUUGAUAAACAGGAGCAGGGAACUUUUGAAGUAACUCCUAAAGAAGCACCGUUGUUGCCAUUCGGCUAUCAAAAAUUUAGAGUAAAAAACAUAAAAGGUUUAAAAAAAAAAUAUGUAUGUGAAGUAUACGAAUGUAUUGUGUUUCCGUCUAAUAACAAAGACUAUACGAAAUGUAACAGCAAGACAUUAUUAGCACCUUUUUUUAUAUAUGCUACUUUUUUUCAAUUUAAUACAAAAUAUAUAUGUGAAACAGAAAACGUGCAAGACAGUUUAGUUUUUUAUCCAAAAAAUAUAUCCUUUUUAAAUAUAAUUGAGGAAGAAUAUAGUUAUGCUAUUGUCAAAUUUGAAAAUAACUCAGAAGUUACUCAAAUUAUUGAUUUCACUCCAUAUAAAAAUGAAGCCGAAAGCAUAAAGGUAUAUCCACAAAUAAAUUAUGUUCCUAAAAAAAGCUUUUUAAAUGUAAUUAUUUUUUACUCCCCCAAAAAAAAACAAUCAAAUAACUCUGAAAUAAAAAUAUACUAUUUAGUAAAUGGAAUUGAAAAAAAUUAUAUAUCUGUUUUGGUUUCCCAUGAAAUGAACAACGUUAUGUUAAAUGCAGGAGAUACUAACAUAAACUUACCAUGUGUAGGUACCGAAACUGAAAGUUACAAAAAAGUGAAUAUUGAAAAUUUAACAGAAAGAAAUGUUUUAUGUGUACUAAUAAAAGAAGAUGUAGAGAAACUUGUUAAUAUUGAUAUAGAUGGGAAUAACGAUCCUGUUGAUAAUAAAAAAGAAACCAAUUUAAACGAAUUGAAUAACACAACUGUUGAUAAUGAAAAUAUAAAACAUAGUAGUUCAUUUAUUGAUGAUGAUGAAAAACUAUAUAAUUUUUAUUUUUUUUGUCUUUCACCUUUUGAAAAAAAAAAUAUACAUAUUUCUGCUAUUUGUAAUUUUAGUAUAACCAAAUCGAUUCCUUUACUCUUCAAUUAUUUAUUAUAUAUAAACGAUGCAGACAUGGAAAAUAAAUUCAUAUAUUUAAAAAAAAACAUGAAUGAUCAUAUAAAAAGUUCAAACAAGUUUUCUAUUAAUAUUAAUAUAGUAAAAAGUUCAUUAAUGGUUUAUCCGAAAUUAAUUGAAAGUGAAUUGAUUCUACCUGGAAAACAGUUUAAUGCGAAGAUAACAGUAAAAAAUAAACACCCAGUGAUUAUAAAUUUUAAGACUAAAACUAAAAUUGUUCAAAUAGAUGGCAUCGAUGUUUUUGAUGAAAAAGAAGUUAUAGAAGCAGAAGAAAAUAUAAUAUCAAACAAUAAUGAAUAUGUAAUAAAUCCCUUUUCUGAAAAAAAUAUAAUCGUGAGUUUUAACACUAGCCGAAAGGGGGUAUUUUUGUAUCGUUUUUUUGUCAUGAUAGCAGGUAAGAUAAAAAAAAAAAAAAAAACUGCCAUUUGUUUUAAUGUAUAA
ensembl:lncRNA